UACGUAGGGCGCAAGCGUUGUCCGGAAUUAUUGGGCGUAAAGAGCUCGUAGGCGGCUUGUCACGUCGGGUGUGAAAGCCCGGGGCUCAACUCCGGAAUUGCCUUUAAGACUGCAUCGCUCGAAUUGUGGAGAGGUAAGUGGAAUUCCGAGUGUAGAGGUGAAAUUCGUAGAUAUUCGGAAGAACACCAGUGGCGAAGGCGACUUACUGGACACAUACUGACGCUGAGGUGCGAAAGCGUGGGGAGCAAACAGG
rnacentral:rRNA from 1 species